rnacentral:tRNA from 1 species
GCCUUAGUAGUAUAAUAAUUACACUGGUUUUGUAAGCCAAAAACGGAGUACCCACCCCUCCCUAAGACA